GUACUUACCUGGACGGGGUCGACGGGCGAUCAAAAAGGCCCGUGACCUAGAUCAAUGGUUCACAUUGCACUUGGGAAGUGCGUUGAUGUACCAUCUCCCCAAGUGAGAGAAUGGAGGGGGUACAUGUUCGCGCGGCACCUGC
rnacentral:snRNA from 1 species